AUGAAUAUUGACCUAUCAGAAUGGCUAAAACUUCAUAGCAGUGGUGUGCGCCUCUUCCUCACCCUUCCCUCCUCGCUCGGGUUGCAGCCACGACCAGGCUAUGUAGCCUCCACCUCUUUUAAAGGCACGCUCCAAGACAAAAAUGCACCUUCAUCUUCUGGAACAGGUGUAAAGUGUCCCCUGAUAAUAACAGCCUACAACUUCUCUCUUCAUUUCUUAAAUACAAAUAAGAGUCCAAGGUCUGAUUAGGAGAAUAGAACACUUACAAGGAGAACAAAGCAACAAGGUGGGCUUCGGUCAGAUUCUAACAGUGAUGGGCACAUAACCUGGCAUUCAAUAAUUCAGCUUCUUCUGAAUGGUCGAAUCAGCACAUCUAAUAUGAUGGCCACACCAGGAGAGAAGAUAAAAAUCAUACCCUGACUGGGUUGAAUGAGACAAGGGGAGCCAAACUGUAAAGGCAUUCUCUGUGAAGGUAUUGGAGUGACAGCUUAAGGAGGAAAAAGGGAACAAACAGAAAAAGAAUGAGAAGCAAGGAGACCAAAAGAAGUUCAGGUUAAAGCUUACAAAAAUAAUGUUCUAGCUGAGGAUUGACAUACCCAUUAGGUUAUGGGAGCGUCCUCACUGUUAGGAGAUUGCAGCAGACACUAUUGUAUUUUGCAUUGUUCGAGGGAGAAGGAAGAGUCAGUGAAGAGACAAGAGGGUUUAAAGAGCAUACAGAAGGCUGGUUUGGCUGGGAUGGAGUGAGUGAGGGUGCUUACACUGAAUUGUGUCCCCUCAAAUUUCAUAUAUUGCAACCCUGACCUUCGGACAUCAGAAUGUCACUGCAUUUGGAGAUAGAGCCUUUUAAGAAAUGAUUAGGUUAAAAUAAGGCCAUGAGGCUGGGCUCUAAUCCUAUCUGACUGGCAUCCUGAUAAAGAGAAAAUUUGGACCUAAAACAAGAUGCCAGAGGAAAAACCCAUGUGAGGAAUACUGCGAAAAGGUGGCCAUCUACAAGCCAAGGAGAAACACCUCAGAGGAAACCAAACCCAGUGGCACUUAGAUCUUGGAUUUCCAGCUUCUAGAACUGUGAGAAAAUAAAUUUCUGUUGUUUCAGUCA
rnacentral:lncRNA from 12 species